rnacentral:rRNA from 1 species
UACGUAGGGUGCGAGCGUUGUCCGGAAUUAUUGGGCGUAAAGGGCUCGUAGGCGGUCUGUCGCGUCGGGAGUGAAAACUCAGGGCUUAACCCUGAGCCUGCUUCCGAUACGGGCAGACUAGAGGUAUGCAGGGGGAGAACGGAAUUCCUGGUGUAGCGGUGAAAUGCGCAGAUAUCAGGAGGAACACCGAUGGCGAAGGCAGGUCUCUGGGCCACUACUGACGCUGAGAACGAAAGCAUGGGGGAGCGAACAGG